UCUAAUAAUACGUGGAUACUAAAUCCAAAAUUAGGUACAAUUUAUAAUCUGUUUUAUGGUGGUAUGUGGCAAAAACCUAUCGAUGAUAUAUAUUGGGAACACAAUGGUAUUUUACUGGCAAAUGCAACAAGAGGAGAUUUUGAGAAAUGUGUUGAGUUAGCUACAGAAGGAUUUAGAAUCUGGACAGAAAAGUCUAUUGAUUCUAAAAUAUGUAUAUUAUCCAAGCUUACGUCAAUAUUACAAACUAAUGAACCUUUAUUAGCGAAUGAAAUAUCUCAUUGGAUAAAAUUGGCAUAUUACUAUAAGAAUCACGUGAAUU